rnacentral:rRNA from 1 species
GCUUACGGCCACACCACCCUGAGCACGCCCGCUCUCGUCUGAUCUCGGAAGCCAAGCAGGGUCGGGCCUGGUUAGUAUUUGGAUGGGAGACCCCCUGGGAAUACCAGGUGCUGUAAGCAU